rnacentral:rRNA from 1 species
GCGGACGCUGGCGGCAGGCCUAACACAUGCAAGUCGAACGAACUCUUCGGAGUUAGUGGCGGACGGGUGAGUAACACGUGGGAACGUGCCUUUUGGUUCGGAAUAACUCAGGGAAACUUGUGCUAAUACCGAAUGUGCCCUUCGGGGGAAAGAUUUAUCGCCAUUAGAGCGGCCCGCGUCUGAUUAGCUAGUUGGUGAGGUAACGGCUCACCAAGGCGACGAUCAGUAGCUGGUCUGAGAGGAUGACCAGCCACACUGGGACUGAGACACGGCCCAGACUCCUACGGGAGGCAGCAGUGGGGAAUCUUGCGCAAUGGGCGAAAGCCUGACGCAGCCAUGCCGCGUGAAUGAUGAAGGUCUUAGGAUUGUAAAAUUCUUUCACCGGGGACGAUAAUGACGGUACCCGGAGAAGAAGCCCCGGCUAACUUCGUG